rnacentral:rRNA from 1 species
GGUGGAUGCCUUGGCACUAGGAGCCGAAGAAGGACGGGACUAACACCGAUAUGCUUUGGGGAGCUGUACGUAAGCGUUGAUCCAGAGAUUUCCGAAUGGGGGAACCCACUAUCUUUAGUCGGAUAGUAUCCUUACGUGAAUACAUAGCGUGAGGAAGGCAGACCCAGGGAACUGAAACAUCUAAGUACCUGGAGGAAGAGAAAGAAAAAUCGAUUUCCUGAGUAGCGGCGAGCGAAACGGAAAGAGCCCAAACCAAGAAGCUUGCUUCUUGGGGUUGUAGGACACUCUAUACGGAGUUACAAAAGAAAGUUAUAAAUGAAGCGGUCUGGAAAGGCCCGCCAAAGACGGUAACAGCCCGGUAGUUGAAAUGGCUUUCCCUCCAGAGUGGAUCCUGAGUACGGCGGAACACGUGAAAUUCCGUCGGAAUCCGGGAGGACCAUCUCCCAAGGCUAAAUACUCCCUAGUGACCGAUAGUGAACCAGUACCGUGAGGGAAAGGUGAAAAGCACCCCGGAAGGGGAGUGAAACAGUUCCUGAAACCGUGUGCCUACAAGUAGUUAGAGCCCGUUAAUGGGU